rnacentral:rRNA from 1 species
AUUGAACGCUGGCGGCAGGCCUAACACAUGCAAGUCGAACGAGUGGCGGACGGGUGAGUAAUGUCUGGGAAACUGCCUGAUGGAGGGGGAUAACUACUGGAAACGGUAGCUAAUACCGCAUACCAUCGGAUGUGCCCAGAUGGGAUUAGCUAGUAGGUGGGGUAAAGGCUCACCUAGGCGACGAUCCCUAGCUGGUCUGAGAGGAUGACCAGCCACACUGGAAAUGAGGCACGGUCCAGACCCCUAAGUGGGGCAGCAGUGGGGAAUAUUGCACAAUGGGCGGAAGCCUGAUGCCGCCAUGGCGGGGGUAUGAAGAAGGCCUUCGGGUUGUAAAGUACUUUCAGCGGGGAGGCGUUACCCGCAGAAGAAGCACCGGCUAACUCCGUGCCAGCAGCCGCGGUAAUAC